GAGGCCGAGGCAGGGGGUGAACUUCGGGCCCCACGCUGUUCGGAGCUGGGCCAGACCAGGCCAGGCUUGGUCUUGGCUCGGGAGAAGACUGGGGGCACCGAAGGGGCGGCGUUGGCACGUGUCCCCCGGCAGGAUGGGGACAGCCCAGAAGGAAUGAGGUCUUGUGCGAGGUGGCCCAGGCCCUGCCCGCCAUGUGGACUCCAGUCUCCAUGAGAAGAGUGGGCAGACCUUUAAGAGGAGCAGAAGUGCUCCCAGAGGUUGGCUCCGGACGAGGACCCCUCUCCUCCUGUCCUCCCCUCUGAAAGGGCAGGGAGGGGGAAGGGAUAGAAGGGGAAGCAGUCCCGAGGCUGUCGACACAGGACUCUUGCCAGAGAGCCCAAGGGCAGGGAAAUUUUGUGUUUAGAGUCUUUAAAAAACAAAAAACCUUUUCAGUUGGCCCGUUGCAAAGUUGAAAUGGUAGACUGAAAAGUUGGUCUCCCACUUCAGUCUCUCAGGCAUCCAGCCCCUCUCCACUGAGACAGGGACUGUCACCAAUAACAAAAGAUAAGUGUAUAAAUGUACUCCUUUCCUUUAAAAAUACACAAGCAGUGGUAACAUAGUCUACAUAGACCCAUGUUCUUGGUGUUUUUUAAUUAAAUGUGUUUUGGGGAUCACACAAGAAACAGAAUUCUCCACUUCAGAUCAUCCUCUGUUGUGGUGGCAGUCCUGGGCAGUCUGGGGAGUUCAGUAGCAUCCCUGGCCCCGACCCACUCGAUACCAGGAGCAUCCCCCAGUUGUGACAACCGCAGAUGUCUCCAGAUGCUACCGAAAGUCCUUAGGGGAACCUCCUCCCUUCCCCUCCCCCAGAACUACAGCACUAGAGCCUACCUCUAGAGCCUCUUAGAUUUUUGAUGAGUAUGUGGUAUUCCAUUCCAUGAUGUCUGUCAUAACUUAACUAGUUGUUAAUCAAUGGAUGUUGUUUCCAGGGGUUUUCUGCUGCAACCAAUACUGUAGUAAAUAGCCAGGGUCUGUCUCUGCCCACAGGUGGGAUUAGAUUUGUUGGGUAGGUUACCAGAAGUGGAAUGCUGAGUCCAAGAAUGUAAGCAUUUUAUGUUGUAACAGACAGAAUAGGUGUUUUGGAGAGUCCAGGCCCCGCUGCUCAGGAGUCUGGUGAAAGCUGAGUGGUUCCACUCCUCAGAAAAUUGGGCAAAUGCAAAAUUUAGUUUAUAAUUUCAGAUCCAAGAAGCCCCAGAUUCCUUGAUCCUAUAAGAACCUUAGUUCUGGAGUUUGUGUGGAUAGCCUCCAGGAAGGAAUGAGCAAUGGUUGUUGGAAUUGUUUGGGCCGUACUGGCCAACUGGAUUCUACCCACAGUUUGGAGAAGUCCAGUGGGAGGGAAGAGAAGUCCAGUAAUACACAGCUGGGACCUUUUGCCCCUUGAGGGAAAAAGUAAUGACCCUAGCAUUGUCCAGGGCUAAAGAUAUUGGGGGUCUAUCUCUAGACUCCUGGCUAAACCCUGGAGGAAGAGAGACUUAAUAUAGUGGGAUUCUAGGAUGUUCUGAGAGUACAGCCCUUUGCCAUAGCAGGAUGGAACUAAGUGACCUGGCCCUACGUUAGACUUUGCUCAGCAGGCCGAAGAGCCCCCACACACUUGAUCAGAGCCCCUUGGCAUGCUGAUCACUGCCUCGGGGCUUGAUGUAGUCCCUCCUACUGGAACUAUAGGUCUUGGAAGAAUUCCUGGGCUACUUUGUUCUUUCAUAUAGACAGGUCUGUGGAAGCCCUCCCCGCCCCCAGCCAUUAGGGCUUAUGCUGGUGGCCCAUGCUGUCCCUACCAGACACACUGUGCUAGAGGAACUAGCUAGGUCUCUCAAGGGGAAAGAAGGAUGGCCUGCAUCAAGACCUGUGGGAAGCACUUUGAAUCCUGGAAAGCUCAGUGCAAUGUAAGCUGGUGGUUCAGAUCAAUUUGUUAUCUUGACCUGAGGCUCAGUCCCAGAGAACUGCUGCGAUGGCCACAUUCUCCUCUGAGAGAGUCGUCUUGGUCUCCUGACCGAUUUGGUGUUGAGUUGUGCUCUCAAGACUCACCCUCUUCUGCAAUAGUUUCCAUAGACCUCCAACAUCUCCACUGUUUAUCUGGACGUGUCCACCUUUUUGUGUGGUUUUUUUUUUUUUUGGCUGUGCCUAUGGCAUGCAGAAGUUCCUGGGCCGGAGAUCAAAUCUGCUCCACAGCAGCAACCGUGACAACACUCCGAUCCUUAACGCACUGCACCACAGAACUCCUCUUUGUGUGUCUCUUUUCUCAGUCUUAGGGACACUGUUUCAUCCUCUUUUAUGUCCUUGGGGUCAUCUGUUCCAGGGUAACAUUCUUGUUACCUUGUAAUGAUAUAUAUUGAGUUUUCACUGUGUAAACUGAUGAUAUGCUUUAAACCAGUCAGUCUCUGAUGGUCUCACUUAUCUGGCCCAAAGGUAAAUGCAUUCCUCUUUUUACAUGAAAAGAGUUUCAGGGCAUUUGUCUUCCUGCAGAACAGUAGUUCUCAGCCAGACCAAUCCCACCUUCCAGAGGACACUGGCAAUAUCUGGAGACAUUUUUGGUUGCCACAGCUUGGUAGUUUCUAGUGAGUGGAGGCCAGGAGUCCUGCUCAACAUCCUACAGUGCCCUGGGCAGCUUCACACAACUCAGAAUCACCCUCCACAAAAUCAGCGGUGCUGAGGUUGAGAAACCCUGUUUUAAGGUUUGAGAAAAGUGAGGAUAGGGACUUCUCUUGUGGCGCAGCAGGUUAAGGAUCUGGCGUUGUCACUGCAGCAGCUUGGUUUCAAUCCCUGGCCUGGGAACUUCUGCAUGCUGGGAAAAACGAGGGGAAAAAUGAGGAUAAUUUUACCCAAACAAAACAAAUUCCUCCUGGGCAUCCUUGUGGGCAGCUGUCUGCUUUUCUUAAUUCUCAAAACACGGAUAACCACUUAUGCACAGGUAGACAUGUACAUAAUACUUAGCACCCAGACGCCAAGUGUCCCCCUCCCAGGUCCUCCAGAGUGUCUUUUGGCUUCUGGUAUUUUUAAGAAGGUAUAAGCUUACAUCAUCGCUUCUCAACCAGGGGUAACUUGCCCUUCCCUGUUCUGCUCCCCCCACCGCUCCAUACUCCACCUCAGGGACAUUUGGCGGCAUCUGAGAAGGUUUUUGGUUGUCACACCUUGGGGAGAAGGUGCUAGGCACCCAGUAGGUAGCGACUGGAGGUGGUUGCUAAACAUCCUACAACACCUAGGACAGCCUUCCACAAAGAAUCAUCUAGCCUCAAAUGACAGAAGCACCGAAGUUGAGAAACCGCUUUUGAAACAGGUUCUUGAUUUCAGAGGCUUGUAACAGCACCGUUGCUAAAUUAAGAAAUAGGAGCCAGGUGGAUAUGUGAGCGAGAGCCGGGAACGGAGGAGGUUGCUUUCUAGCAGGAGCAAGAGAGUCUGAACUGAAAGAUUGGUUCCAUCUGAGCCAGGAGGGAAAUUCAUGGCUGCCAUAUCCCAUAGCUUCGAAAUUUGUUGGAUACUCACUACGCCCCUCCCACCUCCCCAGUUUGUGUCUAGGAGGAAAGAUUGAAAUUCCUGUGAGACAUGUGCGGUGGAAAGAGGGCUGGGGGACCCAAGACCCCAAAGUGUUGGCCUGCUCUGACCUAUUUUUUAAACUUCAUUUGUGGUAUCUUGCUUUUGAUUUCCCAGCAGAGUUCUUGGCCUGCUAAAUAAUGGACAUGCAGUGAUCUUAUACAAACAUCUGGAACUUGUAAGCCCUUAGCCUCAGUGCAGACAUAAGUGUGGAACCCAUGAGCUGGGAAUGACAGGUGUCAGGCAAGGUCUGGGGGAAGGGGUCCUUGGCACAGGCCCUUGAGCUCAGCAGCUGCAGGCCAACCUCCGGAAGACCUUCUGCCUCGGAGCAGCAGAGAUGGGAAGGGCUUUUGACCAUUACCACGUCCACGUGCAGUGGAAACUGGGUUAAGUCCACUCUUACAGGAAGCCACUCUGCUGACUCAUUCUGUAGGAAGACCCUUGACCUAGUGGUGUCCCUGCAGGACCCUGGGCGGAGAUGAUCCCAUCCUGUUCCAUCAGUGGCCCAUCUGGGCUGCUGUCCCCACUUGGCAUUCUGUCACCAGCCUGCUGGUUGGAGUAACCAGACUGGUGUUUUAGGCUGAACUGUGGCGCUACAGAAGAGAUUUGAGACUGCCCUUCCCCAAAGGAAUCAGGGGCCUCUUUAAACCCCUACUUCCCAGGCCUGUCUGCAAAACCAGGUUAACCUGACCUGGGCAGGACCCACAGUUCACAAUUAGGGAGGCACCCUGUAACCAAACAGCAUCCUGCAUAUUCUUGUUAUUAACGCACCAGACCAGAGGGUCAUCACAUCUGAUGCUGCUGCCCGUGACUGCCAUGUAUCAGGCCUAAAGUUCACCUCUGACUCAGAAUCCUGUGUAUAUUAAAGACCAGUUUAUUAAAGAGUGCUGUGGGAGCUAAUCGCCCUGCUUAUCUGGGUGUGUUUUGAGGCAAAGCUGUAGGAUACUUAAUUAUAUUCCGUGUCCCACUUAAUAACAGCCUGUGAGGUUAGGGGUUUCACAGUAUCUUCCUGUCCAGUUUCAGAAAUCAGGUGCUAUCAUAGUUUUGAGACCCUGAAACUGUCAAAGACUUAGCAAGUGACCCAAAGAAAUAAUACUGUUUACCCAUCCACCAUCCACCCAGCCUCCCUCUGGACCCAACAUGAGAGCAAGCGCUGAGUGCCUUUGGGGGCCUACACUCUCUGCCUGCCCUUCAGGUAUCUUCUCCACAUCUGUUUGCUUCUGCCCUCAGAAGACAAACCGACAGGCUAUGACUAGGCCCCUCAGGCCUGCCAUUUGCCUCUGCUGUAUGUGUCCUGUGGCCUUUGACCCUGGGACAUGGGUCCCAGUUAGCUCUGCCCUGGCCCCUAUCUCAGCCCUCUCUUUGUUGUCAAUAUUUUGAAACUGAUCCAAUCUUGGGAAACUUACUUUUUAAUUUGAGGUGUGCAGCCAACUUCCUCCAUAAGAUUUCAGAGGCAUCUGCAUGUUUUGACACUGCAGUGCUGCCGUUGGUGGAGGGGAGUGGCAGAGGAAAGUCAAAUUGUCUUCUGUUUCUGGUUUCUGAGGUGAGGGGUAGGGGUGAGGUUUCCGAGGUUUAAGUUGGGUUUGUUGCUGGAGCCUUCCAGCCACUGGAGGGGUUAGGAUCUCACAGGCCCGUUGAGGCAUCUUUAACCCCCAUGCUCAAACCCUCCUGGCUUUUAAGUGCUUGGGGAAGUGUUAGGGGCGUUCUUUUUCAAAGCUGUCCAUGGAAAGCUGGAUGGAAGAAUGUGUCAGACUGUGGCAACAGCUGGUUCCUCUCUUCUCCGCUCCUCUCUGCUCUCCGCCCCCCUCCUUUCUCAUCUCCCUCUUCCUCCUUCUCUUCCUCCUCCCCCCCUCCUUCUUCCUCCUCUCUUUCCCCUAUCCCCCUCUUUUUUUUCCUCCCCACCCCACCUCCCCAGGGCUGGAUUUGCAACCACUUCUCCUGAGCACUGCAGUUUGGGUCCAAUUCUGCUCAUUUCCUGUUAAGCAGUAACCAGGGCACUGUGAACGCGGGCUCCCAGAGGACAGCCUCGUCUUCCUUUUCCACUCAGCUCCUGGAAAAACCUGCUGACUGGGCCUGAGAGCAGGGUCAUGCGGAGGCUCCCACCCACAGCAGGAAAACAGACGUGCGAUUUCCUCGGAAGGGCCUGACUCAGCAUCAGCCGCACCACUCUGGGAAGGGCCACUGCCUGGCUGCUCAGGUUUCCACACCUGGGCAUGAAACCCCUCCCGCGGCGCCAUGCCAGGGGUGUGAGACAGCCUGGCCAUGUGAGCUGCCCGCCAGGGGCUGUCCCGGGAUCUCAGUAGAUGUCAGGUGGACCGAGGGAUGUUUGGCCCCCAUCUUGGGUUGUGAGAGUGCAGAAGCGGGGCGGUCAUGUGGGUGCACCCAGAGAAGGCCGAGCUGGGGCCUGGUGAGAGGAGGGUCCCCGCUGACCUGGGGUGCGGUUGCGGCUCCAACGUGGCAUUCAGGACCUUCUGGAGCCCCCACCCUGGUCCCAGCCUUCAAUCGCACCCUCCUCCUUGCAGGCAGCACACUCCAGUCGGGUAGGUCUUCUCAGCUUCAUGCCUUCCCGCCUCCAUCCCCAUCUAGGCCAAGGUUGCCAGUCUACUUCCUGUUUGCCGUCAGAGCCUCAUGUGCAUCUUCCUUUAUCCUUGCCAUCUUCCAGCACUGCCUGCAGAAAAUACUUCUCUGCCCUCCCAGCGUCUGUCCUGGUGGUCUCUGCACAUGUGCCACACACCAAGCACAUCCUCCUAUCCAGUGUGCUUUUCUUCUCUUUGGGUGUGGGCUCCUGAGGGAGCGGGCUGCCUGGUGGCUUGUGACAGGCCUGGGUCCCCACAGGUCAUGGCUUGCUGGCCAAGUUGUCAGAAAUGGUAGACGCCUUCUCAGGGUGGGAGUGGAGCUGUACAGUGCCAGUGACAGUGCUCUGCAAAGCAGGGUGGCUGGCCAGGCCUUGGUCAGGAACAGGUCUGACUGGUUUAGAAAUCAAAGCUCAGAGGCUGUUCCCUUUGGUUUAGGAUCUGCCUUGAGGGCUCCAGGCCCCCAGGGACCUGACCUGUGUCACGGGCAGUCUGUCCUCUAGACCCCACAGCCAGGCCCAAAGUUAACGGGAGGUGCCCAGCCUGCUGGGAGGAGUUCCCCCAGCUCCACUUUCCCCAGGCCAGACCCCUCCUGGUCUCAGAAGUCUGUUGCUGAGGCCCUCCGGACUUCUGACCUCUUAGACUUGACGGGCCUUGGCCUGGGUCCUGUGUGCAGCCCCAGCUCCCAGCCCCCUCCCUGGCUUCCACACCUGGCCACUCUUCUGCCUCCUCUUCCGUUUCCUCAGUCAGCUGCCCAGCAUUGUCUCCCCCUCCUCCACUUGGCCUGGUUGUUUCUGUCUGUGAACUUGCCACCCUGCCCCUGGGCUCUCUCUCUUCAAGAUCUCAGUUACCUCCCUGGUACCCAUCACCCCUCGUGCACCUGUCUUCCAGAUCUGCGUCCCCAGUCACAGCAUUUAGAUGUGACACUCCCCACUGCCCUCUAGAUGGUGGUCCCUGACCGCCUGGCUGGUACUGGAAAUAUAGCAGACUCUUCACUUGCCCACCCUAACCUUCCCUGUCCUUGCCCUGGGGUGAGGGAGCUCUCACCUUCCCCCGGGCUCUGUGUCUUUCACAGCAGCCUCUGGGCCUGCUGUAAAUACCUCAAAACAACUACCUAGCCUGUGGCUUGAAUUAAUUAAUUAACUUGACUUUUAAAUAGGCUCAUUUUAAAACUUUUAAAGGGAUCUUGAUGUAAUUUCUUCCUAAAAAUCAUACUAACUGGAUCACCAAAUAUAACAGAAACAAAGCAGUGUAAUUGAUUCUCCUGGAUUCCUCACCUCUGAGCCUGGGGUCUGGUCCCUCUUGUUAAACCACAAGUGCCUACCACAAAGUGUCUCCUUGCCAGAAUGAGGGGUACCAAAAGAGCAUGGUGGUGGGAAUAUCUUUCUCAAUUGUCCCUGUUACCUCUUGUCUUGGCACCCCCCCCCACCCCUCUUGGUUUUCACUUGGAACCAGAAAAUCCUGUGGACUUGAAUUAAGGCUCAGAAGAGAGCUUUGGGGUGAGGGUGGAUUUCCUGAGUGUCUGGGGAGAGGCCUGACAGUACGUAGCCCCGUGGUGCUUAGUCCAUGUGCUUAAUCCCCCGAUGUCCGGUUGGCUGGUAGUUCAGAUACCUUUGGUCAGCACACCUCAGUCCCGUCCCAUGUUCCUUAAAGUGGAGCGUUUGACUGAUGACUUUCUGCUCUCCUGUGGGUCUCAGCCCCACAAGUAAGUGGAGUCUUAGAAGGGCCCUCAGGAAGGAAACUGGGAACUUCUUGUCCCUUCUCAUCCCUAAGGACCCAAGGCCCCUCCUCAUCCUUUGUCACCCACCUCCCCAGGAUGAGGCCUCUUGGCUGCCUCAGGCAGGCGUCCAUCAUCUCCAGGGCCUCCGCUCAUCAGAGCCGUGAUUGUCUGAGGGCAGGCCCGGCAGCCCUGGCCCUUGAAGGCCAGCCUUUGUCCAGAAGAAGGCAGCCGAAGGGACAGUGACAGGGGAUGGGAUUUCUCCAUCCCUUAACCCUGACGUCCUGGCUGUGACUGUCCUUUAUUUACUCUCCCUGGGGCGUCUCCUCCUUUCCUUGGAGGUUUAGAACCCUUACUGUCCCACCCAAUCAGCAUUUCACCCCUGAGGACAGCUCCCUGCUGAUGGCCCCCUGCUACUUCUCCUACCCUUCAGUGCCCUUAGAGGUUGGCCCAGGGGUUGUCUUUCUCCCCCAGACUUGAUGCUUUUACUUCACAGCUGAGAAGCCUUGGAUUAUUUCUCCCGGGCUCUCUGGAAAGUUCCUCAUCACCAUUCCUUUGCUCGCUGUGGACUCAGGGCAGCUGAGCACUCUCUCCACUUUGCUCCAGAGCACCCUGUGCCCUUGGCCUUGGCCCAGAGUGGGCAGGAGGCACUGGCUGGGCAAGUCCCUCUGCCGUCUCCAGACUGCCAGGUUUAGGAGUCUUUUGUGUGAAGCUGUGGAAACAGGGCACAUUGGGGACCUGAGAGGUGAAUGUGCUGGUUUAGGAGAGUGGGGAGGAGGACCUUUUUCCUCAUCUGAGUCCUAAAGGCCGCUCAGCCAGCUCUCAGCAGUGCCUAGAGGAGAGUUGACCGCCUUCCAGGGGAGUUUGCUCUCAGCGAGGUCCCCCACGUUCCCUGGGCCAUGGGCCAGGCAGUGCCAGCACGUUGUGAAGGGCACAUCCCUUUCCAGGUGCUUGAAUUUGUGUUAAAGUGUCUCCAAUGUAGAGCCAGAGGUAAAGAAUGAUCAGGCGAUAGCCAAGCGCUCACAGGAGCUUGCAUAAACACAGGCAGCACAGUCCAAGUCGAAGGCCUCCCCUCAAACAUCUGCACACGAUGGCUUUGUUUUGCAAGUUUACACCUCACGAAAAUGGUGUCACAUGACUGUUUUUAGUUGUGCUUUUUGCUCAGCACUGUUGGCGCACUUUGUCCACAGAGAGCAAGUGGCUCAAGUUUGCUUCCACAGCGCCUUGGCUUUCCUUUGUGUGACUGACCACAGCGCGUUGUCCCUCCCCUGCCAGUGGGCAUUUAGGACAUAGCCACAUUUUUGCUCUCAACAUGGAGUGAGCAGCCUUGUACAUGCCCCCCGCCUCAGCAAAGUCCAAGAGUUUCUCUAGACUUCUGCCUGUUUGAUGUGACCAUUUUCCGUGAGCACAGCCAGGGAAAAAACCACCACCUAUUUAGUCUGCAUGACCAAAGUCUUGGUCAGAGCUGGUGGGGGUCCUGCUCGGGGCCCUCAUCAAGGGUGACCUUUCAGCUGCUCGGUUGUACUGCCCGUACGUGUGGGGGGUGGGGCGCCCCAGGCACAGGGUCCACUCUGUGUGUGAGGGGUAGGCGCACAAGUAGGGAGGAGACCCUGGGAGGCCCCAGCUGCUGCCAGCACCUAGAGCCCUGUUUCUGCCCCGGUCCUCACAGGGUUAAUGUCUUUGCCAGCCUGUGCAUUCCUCAGGAACCUGGGUUUUCCCUUUUGGUCUCCACGGAGAGACUGAGCUUGCUGAAAGCACUGGCCCUACAUCUAGGCCUGUGAAGUCCCAGAGGGCUGCUCGGGCCAGUGUGUACAGUCCAUCCUCACUGUUGGCAGAUUUGUGUUUUCAUAUUCACCCUGCUCCCUGAAGUGUGUCUGUAACCCCCAAUCAGUACUUGCAGCAUUUUGACACACGUUCAUGGACAUGGCCAGAGUGGCACAGAUUUUUGAGUCUCCCGAUGUGCUUGUUCCCACCGAAGUGGAAACAAGACAGGGCUCUGCCUUCUUGUUUCAGCUCAGACUAAUUCAGUGUCCUUUCCACAGCCCGUUUAGUGUCGCAUGUAGUAUUUUUGUUCUUGUGGGUGUUUUCGCUCUUUAAAUUGGUCCCAAGCAUAGAGCUGAAGUGUUGGCUAGUGUCCUAAGCACAGGAAGCCUGUGCUUAUAGAAAAAGCCUGCUAUGGGAGUUCCUGUCGUGGCGAAGUGGUUAACGAAUCCGACUAGGAACCAUGAGGUUGCGGGUUCGGUCCCUGCCCUUGCUCAGUGGGUUAACGAUCCGGCGUUGCCGUGAGCUGUGGUGUAGGUUGCAGACGCGGCUCGGAUCCCGCGUUGCUGUGGCUCUGGCGUAGGCCGGUGGCUACAGCUCCGAUUCAACCCCUAGCCUGGGAACCUCCAUAUGCCGCGGGAGCGGCCCAAGAAAUAGCAACAACAACAACAAAAAAAGACAAAAAGACAAAAAAAAAAAAAAAAAGAACAAGUCUGCUCAUAGAAAAAGCUUCAUUCAGGGGAGGGUUCAGGUGUUGCUGGCCUUGCACUCAAUGCUGGUGAAUCAACAGUGUAUAUUAAAUAAUGUGUCUUUAAACAGACACACAUCACACGAUGCAUUGUGACCACAGGCUCACAGGAGCCUGACACUGCGUCCCCAGGAGCAGUGGCUCAGUAUUUACUGGUUUCAGUGUUCCAGCAGCUUUAUAGCACAGAACCACCCUGAGUUCUGACACCCUGAGAACUGACUCUUCCCACGCAGGCAGGAUGCCCCCAGGCCCCACCCAGCUGUCCUGGUCCCCAUCUGGAACCUGCGAAUGUGUGACCUUACUUGGCAUAAAGGAUGGAAUUAGAGCAUGGACCUGGAGGUGGUGCGAUUGCCCUGGAUGACCAGGUGGCCCAGUCUUAUCAUAAUGGCCCUUAAGUCUGGAAACUUCCUGCCUGGUCAGAGGGAGGCGCAACCCAGGAGAACUAGAGAGCAGGCAGCACAACAGGCCUAUGCUGCUGGCUGUGGAGACAGAGGAAGGGGCCAUGAGCCAAGGAGCAAGGUCCCCUCUAACAGCCAUAAAGGCAGGAAACCUCUAGAGCUCCCAGAAAGGCACGCAGCCCUGCCAACCCCUUGGUCCUCACUGGGGAGAUCCAUGUCAGAGUUCUGCCCUCUUUGACAUUUUUGUGUUGUUUAGGAAACUUGUGUUUUGAGUCACUGAGUUUAUGGGAAUCUGUUAUAUCAGCCAUAGGAAACUUCAUACAGGUCCACACUGCCUUAAAGCCCCAUUCAGAUAAAGGUUUUCAGCUCACCAUUGAAGGAAGGGGGUGUGCGUGCACAUGUGCCUGCGCACAUAAAUGUGUGUGUGUGUGUGUGUGUGUGUGUGUGUGUGUGUGUUUCAUCCUUCCUCAGCUCUAACCUCCAGCUCAGUGGCUGAAGUCAACAAGAAAAUAGGAGUCAUUGAUUUUGCCAAGUUAACUGACGUGUACUGUGCUAAGAGCAGCCUCCCACUGAGCGGUCUUCAUCUCAGAGCUCAGUGGAAGUUGUUCUCUAGUUUCUGGAAUCCCACUUUGGUGACUUAAAAGUUAGUGGACUGGAGUUCCCAUCGUGGCUCAGCAGUUAACGAAUCUGACUGACAUCCAUGAGGAUGCAGAUUUGAUCCUUGGCCUUGCUCAGUGGGUUAAUGAUCUGGUGUUGACGUGAGCUGUGGUGUAGGUCAUAGACAUGGCUUGGAUCCUGUGUUGCUGUGGCUGUGGCGCAGGCCAGCAGCUACACCUCCGAUUCAACCCCUAGCCUGGGAACCUCCGUAUGCCUCAGGUGCAGCCCUAAAAAGCAAAAAAAAAAAACAACCUUAGUGGACUGAUGGAAAAUCCUCCAUCGUCAAUUUAAAAACUGACUCUCUGUUCAAGUUUUCUGCAAAAAAAAUGCUGUUGCCUGUGUAAACCUUUGGGAAGCAAACACCACAGUGGGAUUUUGACCUGCAUUGCUUCCCAUCGACAGUAAAAAGAGGUCAGCAGUUCCUUGAGUCUGAUGGCACCUUUCUUCCCGUCAUGGAACCUGGAGGCUCAUGCCAGACACCCUUUACUAAUGACCCCCCACACCUUCAGUGGGGACACUUCAAAAUCACUUCCUGGGAAUCGGUUUCCAAGCCAGCCCUUAGCACCUCUGUCCUCUGCAUUGGUGCAGACCCCACAUCCCCUGUCUCUGCCUUCCCUCACAUCAUGUCCUUUUCUUCUUCUUGCAUCCAAGUCAACCCAUCCUUUAAAGCCAAGUCCAAGGACAUCUACUUGUGACUCCUCCCUGGCUCCCUCUCCAUAAGGAAGAAGGGGGACCUCAUCAUAGGUCCUUGUAUUACCAUUUUUGUGUGUGCUUAUAGCCUCCAUCUUUUUUUCCCUCUGUUAUAUCUGGCACAUACAAAUAAUAAAUGUUUGUUGAGUGAAUAAGGGCAACCUUCUCAAAAGGAGGGAGCUGGCCUGCUGACUUUGAUCUCAGCUCAGGGCAGGAGAAUGUCCCAGACAUGCACAGUGGCUUGGCGAUUGAAGUGGGGUGGAUACAGUGACACAGGGUCCUAUGACAAGCACCUUGUACGAAGAAACCAGGGAUGACGCACGAGGAGAUGACCUGGAGCUUGACUUUGAAUGUGGACAUAGGAAGAAGGGGAGGGAUGAUGCAGGUUUUCCCCAGCAGGCAGCUGGAGCGAGGCCCCCAGUGCCGGGGCUUCAGGGUCACUGGCCUGUGCUGCUGUGUUCUUAUUCCUCACCCAGGAGCCCAGACGCCUCCUAUCUGUGGGUUUAGUUCUUCCAGGGAGCAGAAGCCACCCUGAGUGCAGAGGGGAGGCCCUGGUUACUAGACCAUCAUCCUCAGGUGGAGAGAGAUUUGAAUAUUCUUACAGCUCUUAGCUCAGGAAGUGGCAACACCAGACACGCCUCACCUGGUAACAACAGGGAAGCAAGACCUGGGGAUGAGAGCAGGGCUGUUUUUCUCCUGCAAAAAUCAAAAGAAAAAGUCAUCAGGAGUUCCCUGGUGGUCUACUGGCUAGGAUUCGGUGCUUUCAUCACUGCAGCCUGGGUUCAAUUCCUGGUCUGGGAACUGAGAUGGCACAUCAAAAGCUACUGCAUGCCAUGGCGAAAAAAAAAGAAAGAGGUUUAAAAAGGGCAUCCCUUGAAUCACUACUGCCCAGCCAUCUUGGCAAAUGCAGCAGGACCCCCAGCUUAUGGGGGGUGGGGUCUCCCACGCCCAGAGCGGAAGUGCCUAAAGGGCAGGCAGACUAUUGAUACACUGAGGUGGAGAGAGGGUGGGAUAUCCCAGAGGGGCAGGAUCAAGUUAGCCAGGAACAGGGCAGAAAGCCACUCAGGGUGUUGAGGGUCAGCCAGCAGGCUGAAUCAGUUGGCUGGGUAGAAGCCAGAGAAGGAGGGGCGCCCCAGAGACUGGCAGGGGCCGAGGCAAGGGGGAGUAUGUACCCAUCAUCUUCACACCCUGUCAUUUCAUCUCUUGGAGUUUUGUUCCUUUCCUCCCGCAAGAAGAGCUUCAGAUCGUGUGACACAGCUGUCCAUCAAUGCACUUCACACGGUUUUUACAUGUUUUGGUGUGUGCAGAACCACAGAUCCCUCACAGGAGCGUCUUUUCUCCAGAGACACUGGCAUUCUUAAUGCCCCUGUCAUCCAGGGCACUUGACACAUGUGCCUCUCAACCCUGCCUGUGCGUGGACCCCACUUUGAGCACCCUGGAUGCAACCCUCCUGGCCUCAUUCUUUCCUUGGGACGCACAUCACACAGGGAAUAGCAGGCUCGUCUUCAUAGUGCAGCUUGUGGGUUUUGGAGCAUGUUCACACCCGGGUCCACAGCAUGUCAUUGUCAGUACCCCAUUUACUAUUGAGGAAACCGAGGCUCAGAGGAGGCCACGUUCUUGCUUUAAGUCACAGCAAGGUGGACAGGGUUGGAUCCCGUCCCCACGCUGUUGUCCAGACCCCCACUACUCCCCUGCAUCCCAGGCCUGCCUCAGGAGCUCACAGGCACACCCUUGAUCCCACUUGUUACUAACACACCUGGGGGUGUUCUUCCGUGAGCUCCUGGAGGGCGGGGUCUCUAUUAUCUCAACAGAUAUUGACUGCCCAUCACCUGCUGGGUGUCAGACCCCCUGGUGCUCUCCUAGCCCCACUAUGGCAGCUGGCUCCUGACAGGAAGUUAAUGUUUGGGGACAGGGUGCAUUUGGAUGGGGAGGUGAGGCUCUUCUCCAAGGUGCCGUUGCUGGAAUGGAGGUGACUGGUGGUGGAGGAGACAAGACCCCUGAGAACUGCUCUCCUCUGUCUGUGGCCCAGGGUUCUCACUCAGGUUCUCACCUACUACUGGGGCCUGGGCGGUAAUGUCAGGGAGCAUGUGUGACAGGCCUGAUGUGCAUCCUGAGAUGGGAAAGGCCCACUUGGCCCUGGCAGCCCGUGUUGGUCUCCUCAUCUCGGUGCCGAGAUUCCUUCCAGCUCCAGGUUUCUAAGACUGAUUUUGCAGGUUAGAAGGGCAGGUGUCCCUGGCCAAAUAAGGUGAGGUACAGAGGGAGGAGCAGCCGUGCAGGGUGACAGGGCUCCAGCAUCAGACACGUGGCAGUGUUUCACAGUGCCUGUCACUAACCCUCAGAGGAGCAGGUCUAGCUGUGCCAAGGCCUACUGACCAUUUUACCUCCCCAGCUCUCGGUGUGCUGUCCCAGGAUUAUAUCUGCCUGGGUGCUUUUGGUAGCCACACCUGAAUAAACUGGCCUUGGUGCCCUGAGUCACCUGUUGUCACCACCCCGGUGUGACAGGGAAGUGGUGGAGCCAGGUGAGGGUACAUUCCUCCAUGUCCACUCAGAGCUUCUGCCUGGAGCGGUCUUGUGGAGGAGCUCUAAGCCUGAGCUCUGUCCCUCCUGCGAGAUAGCCCUCACAGGUCUGCGGAGAGCCUGGGUGCGAGGCCCCUACCCACUCCAGUGUGGCCCUUUUGGGGGCCAUUUCCCUUUGGCCUUCAGAGCCUGUUUGUUUGUCAGCCUUCCUUUCCCAUGUCCUGUUCUCCCAAACUGCAGAGCCAUCCCUUUCACAGGGGGUUCCUGUUGAUAGGAAACCACCCCCAUCCGGAAGCGGGGUCCUCUGAAUGGGCCCAGCUUGCUCAGAUUUUUUUGCUUUGCUCUCUGGUGAGGGGGCUAGACCUUAGGUGGAGAGCAGGGAAUUAGACUUGCAGCCCCCAGGCAGAGGCAGCCUAACUCGAACUUGCCAUAAGCAACAAAAAGAAAGUUGGGGGUUGGGAGUGCUGUCAUCACUGGGCUCCAGGGUCCAUAGUCCUCCCAGUGCUUAGAUGCCAUGGAGUGAUGAAGUCAGACCUCUGUGAGGUCAUUCCUUCCUCCCAUGGGCACUAAGUAUCAACGAAGCACUUCCUAGUCUCAGCAUUCUGAGUGUGGGUAUGGCAGUGCUGGGGUUGCUCACUUGGAGUUCACAGUCCAGUAGGAAGAGGGUUGUAAACAAACAAGAGGACUUUGUUUACAAGAGAAAUACGAGUGUUGGGUGGGUCAGGGACGGCGCCUCUGAAGAGAGGAUGCUAGGUGAGACAGGACCCAGCCUUAGGAAGGUCUGGGGCAGAAGGGACAGCAGGGUGGAGGUUCUUAUAUGGAAUGAAGUAGGGACCUUUUUGAAACAGCCUGGUCCAAAGGGAGCCAGCCUUGAGAGAGGAGAUGCCAGUAUUGUGAUGGGAGAGGUGGCCAGUGGCCAGGUCAAUCUCACCUGGGUAAGAAAGCAGCUGAUGGAAAAUCAGGAGGGCUUCCUGGAAGAGGUGGCUUCACAUUAGUUAGGCCUUUCGGCAUGGAAGUGAUCUUAGAGAAAAGCAUCUGUAUUCUAGGAGAUAGGGGCUCUGGACUUUGAGGUUAGUCGUCACCUCAGCUGUCAUCACUGGGGUACACGUGGACUCUCUUUGAGACUUGUGCCCAGGUGCCACAGCCUCUGGCAUGGUAGGCUGCAGGGAUGGUGUCGGAUGCAAGGUUUGUUCCCGUGCCUUCCUGAGGCUGAGCAGCUCUGCACCUCACGGGAUUUCCAAGCCCCCAUUUCCUGUCUCUUCCUGAAGGUCUGCUCUUGCAUCAUUGACAAAAGAUGAGUUUGCAAAACACCUUAUUUUUUCACAUAGGCAUAACAGAAUUUUCUCUGCCGCCCUGACAGCAGAUCUGUGGCCGGCAGCUCCCCCACAACGCAUGCAGCAUGUGCUUGGUGGUGCGAAGCGGGUGCGGCCCUGCCAGGCAGGACUCAGGGGAUUUAUUACCUCAUUUGUUUGUGGGUUGGGUGUUUCUUUUUAUAAGUUUUCAUCUGAAAUUGAUUUUCCCGGUUAUGUGACAUGCAGCCUUCCUGCCUCAUCCCCAAGAUGAGAAAUUAAAAUGCAUGAGGCCGAUUUAUACCUGAGCUUCUCAGCUCUAGCAAGGGUUCCAGAUAUGGUUUGUUCUAAGAGAUGAGCCUCAAGCAGUUACUGGCACUUCAGUCAUUGGGUAGAACCCCUUGGCACACCCAGGGGCACUAGCUUGGAUCAGGCCCGCCUCAGAGCCCCUUGUCAGCAGGCCUUGUUCCUACCCCCUCUCCCAGAGGAGGCAGGAUCCUGAGCCCCCAUCCCAGUCUGCUGCCUGGCUCAGUGGGGCCCCGUCGCUUUGCCCCUCGCCUUCCCCAUGACAUUUGGGGCAGGACCCAUCUGAGUCUUGGGUACCAUGCCACAGGCAGGGGUUCACGUGAAUAUGACUGGUGUCCCCCUGAGCAGCUCCUGGUCCAUUAUGCCGUUAGUAUUCGGAGAAAGCUCAAAAAUAUUCCAGGGGCUUUAGCCUCAUGCCAUCCUGGAGCGGUGGGUAUUGUGUGAGAGACUGGAGUUCUGAAGGCUUAGGCAGAGUCAGUCCUCCAACACAGGUCUUCCGCCUCCAGGCUGGUGCAUGCGGCGUGGUGUAGGGUAUAGUCUUGGGUGGUUGUCCCCCACUGUCACUGUCCAGGAACAGCUGUGGUCCUCUGGAUUGUCUGCUCCCAAGGGCUGGGCUCUGCCUUCACACUCGCAGGGACAGUUCCCCAGCCAAGCAAGAGGGGUGAGGUUUGCAGCCCAGUGCUGAGUGCUGGCGCUCGUCUCCCCAGCACCCUGACAGCCCUGGCCGGUCUUUGAAAAUGAGGCAGCAAAUCAGAGAGGUGCAGGGGUGCAGCCUCCAGAGCAAGAUGAUUUAAGACUUUUGGGAGCUAGUAACCCCUCCUGUCUAGCUUGGUAUCUCUCUCUCUCUCCCUCACACACAUACCCACACCACUGCCUGGCCCUGGGUGAGGCAUGUCACCUCCUGGGGAGUUAGUUUUUUCCCUUUAUGAGGUGGAGAUACCUGCCUAGAGUCUGAGACUGGCCCAGGGGGGUGCUGGAGGUUCUCAAUGGCUUUAUCCCUUCCUCUUGGGCCUCUCAAGUUUGGCAAAAAGGCUGGCAAAGCAGCAGGUACAAGGAACGAGGUAGUCUCUGCUGUGUUUUGUAGAAACAUUAAAAGGUGCACAUUCUGUGGCCUGUUCCCCCUCCAGCAGUCCUACCUCCCCCUGCAAGCCAGAAGUGCUCCAACCAGAAGUUGGCUUUCCGGAGCUGUCCCAGCACCCAGCAGGGCCCACUUCCUGCCCCAGACUCUACCAGAUUAACUGGGGAACUGGUUAACCAUGAAUGGAAGUGGGGGACAGUUGUCGUUAAGUACUUCUGCUUUCUCUUAGAGGAACUAGGCCUCUUAAUGGGAAUCCCAGGACCAACCAUCAUUAGAGUUGAGCUUGGGCCAAUCCCUGGGGGUCCCCGGAGGAGGCGGGACCAGGAGCUAUGGUGCCCUGACCUCAGGCACCUGCCCCUCCACAGAGCACUGGGCAGGCACUUGGACCUGUGGCUUCUAGCCUUCGAGGGGAAACCCUGACCAGGCAGGGAGUGGGUUCUUUGUCACCCCUCUCCAAGGACUGCUAGGUCACCUGGGGUCAAGGGAGGCACUUUCCUUCAACAGAGGGCUGAGGCUGUCCUCAUAUCUUCCUAUCAGCUGGGACUAGAACAGGAAAAGGCACUUCACAGCCACCUUGUCUGCUCAGCCCCUCACUCUUCCUCUGGCCUCCGGUCCUUCUGAGCUGCCGCACCUGUUCUGUUAGCCACUCCUUUGGGAGGCCAGGAGAGGAGGGGAAGCCCAAAAGGAAGGGGCCUGGGCACUCGGUCAGAUGCACUGGGCUGGGUCCUGUGGCCUGGAAGCUCGCCGUUGGCUACAGGAGACAAGCAUGGGAUGUGUGGCAGGCAGGCCAGGCCCUGGCCUCCAGCUCCAGCAGGAAUUAGGCUGGAUGGAGUUCCCGUCGUGGCUCAGUGGUUAACAAAUCUGACUAGGAACCAUGAGGUUGCGGGUUUGAUCCCUGGCCUCGCUCAUUGGGUUAAGGAUCCGGCAUUGCUGUGAGCUGUGGUGUAGAUUGCAGAUGCGGCUCGGAUCUGGCGUGGCUAUGGCUGUGGCGUAGGCCAGGAGCAACAGCUCCGAUUCUACCCCUACCCUGGGAACCUCCAUGUGCCACAGGUGUGGCCCUAAAAAGACCAAAAAAAAAAAAAAAAAAAAAAAAAGGGAAUUAGGCUGGAGCAGGAGCAGUUCUGGGCUUGCAGGAGCUUGGAGAGCAUGGCAGUCCCUGAUGCACGGAGAGUUCUGAACCCACCCAACCCUCAUGGGCUGAGGAGGCAGGGCCAGCAAGGAGGGUGUCCUGGGGAGAAGUGAGGAAAGUCUGGGCUAGGGCAGGGCAGGCCUGGUUUAGGUGGGUGGAGAGGACUCCGAGGUACACAGGGCCCCUGGUGACCGAUCUGGGGCGCUUAAAGCUUGCUGUGAAGUCUGAGGCCGUCUGAGGCCCUGCUGGGAAAGCACUGUGAUGGUAGCACCUUGGUCAUCAGCCUAGGGCUGAAGGAGCAGCUCUCUGGGUGUCCGCCCUCAGGGAGCCUCUGGCUGCUGGUACUGGGACCCGGAGCGGAGGUCGGGGCUUUGAGACAAGGCCUCAGCUAUACCCCUGCUCAUCUCAGGAGCUUCGUCCUCCAGCUCAUCACUGCCUUGACUGUCACUGAGCAGUUGUCCUCAUCUACUGUUGCCGCCUCCUCUAGCCGGUCCUUUCAGACAGAUGGUUCUGCUUUGCUUCCAGUGCCUGUGCCAUGUUGAGAUCAGACUUGGAUUAAGCCAGAUGUGAUUUUGAAGGGAUUUUUCUCAUGCAAGGGUUUCCCCCCUCAUUUUAGCAGCAUGUGCCACGCAGGGAAGUGGCCACUGGGACUUGUGGCAUUCCACUCGCUGCCCACCAAGCCAGCUGAGUCACGUUCUCAAGCCAAGCAGUCCUGAGAGGGUUUGUGCAGGGAAGUGGGAGGCUUGAGGAGCAUCACAGAGGGCAGAGAGCCAGGGGGAUUCAGACUGCAAGAAGCCAGGUCUGACCAAGGGCCCCAGGCCAGGCUCCUCUCCCCAGUGACGGCCAAUACCUCUUUGCUGUCCCAGCCUGGGGACCCUACAGCUGGUUUGUCCCUGCAGUUUCAGGGAUGUGAGGGGUUCUGCUCCUGAGCCAGCUUCUCAGCUGCCAGCCCCAGGCCCAAGGUGCAACCCCUUCUGCUGAGAGAAUGCGUUGGGCUUCAAAGCCACUGUUCUUUUGUUGCCAGAACUAGGUUCCAGAUAAAUCCCGGACACGCCACCCUGAUGGGUGUCUGUGGAUUGUGUCUGCCCCUCAGGGCCAGAUCUCGAGGUUGUGGUGCCUGAUUUUGGGUUUCCAUGGGAAAAGUAACUUCAGAAGCCUUUUCCUGGUUGAUCAUUUCUGCUCCUGUUCAUAAAGCUGCUUUUUAAAAAAAUGUGUAGCUUUGAUCCCUAGGAGGAGAGGAAGUGUGUGCCUGGAGACCUGAAGGGUACCAGCAAACCGGGGAAAUUUCUGAUUUCCCAGUAUGCUAAAGGAAGUUCUGACUUGUCAGGACACUUCCCUCUGUGGGCUUAACAAAGAGGGUGGUGACUUAUUCUCCGUCAGCUCACAAAUAUUUACUAAAGAUCUGUGACAGACAGGGCUCUCCUGCCGCCAGAGCCCUCAGGCUUCCUGCUGGCCUGUCUCCUUGGGCUAAGGAGUUGAUUUCUACCCUCCGAUUCCUCCUGGUCAGGGUGUUAAGGUUCAUCUGGGUACCAGUGGUGGUUUUGUGGCCUCUGCUUUGGUGGCACCUCUCCUGAGGUGCAGCCCAGCCCCCUUGUCUCGUGGCCUUUACAGUCAGAGCCACGUGGGAGCUUCAGGCUGCCUGGAAUCAGUGCCGCCCCCGUCAGUAAGCAUUUCAUACUUGAGCGACUCAUGGAAGCUCAGGCUUUGGAAGUCGUCCCAACGCGGGGGCCACUGGAAGUUUCCGGGCAGGGACGGCCAGGAGGCUUCAGGGCAGCUGUGUACUGCGCACGUUACCUCCCUAGAAGCUCCCCCAGCUCAUCUUUCCAGAAAGACUCUCCACUUAGCCCAAGAGUGCACCAGCUAGUGUCUCUGCCAUCACCUCUGAGUCAGAGGCCCAGAGCGCAAGAAGGCCAGUGGCUUCUUGUGUUGCCUGGGCAGCAGACCAACCAGGCUCUGCCUGUGUCCUGGGCCCUCCAAGUCACGAGACAGGAGACUGUAAAGAGAACUAGAAGGGGCUGCUCUGAGGUAUCUAGCAAGCGGCUCCCAGAUGUUAGGAGGCCAGCAGGGAGGGGAGUCCCAGUUGGAAGGGAUUUAGAAGCAAAUGUAUCCAUCCCUGUGUCCCUCCCAUCCCUGUGCAGUCCUCAUUCAGGAAUUUCUCAGAGCUGCCCAGGAUCAUCGCAGUCGCCCGCUGAGGCCUCCCAUGUUUAGGCAUUCUGCCUCCUCCCCACAGCCCUUGGAGGCCCCACGCCCUUCCGGCCAGGCCUGCACAGGCGCCUGGUGUCAUCAUCCUCCAGUACAGGGCACAGUGAGGGAUGGAGAGCCCAUCUGACAGCUCUGGGCGCAGAUCCCAGCCUCUAUUACAGCUCUAUCCUUUGCCUCUCAACCCAGGUUUUCCUUAUCUGUAAAAUGAGCACACCGGUCAGUCCCUGUAUUGUCAUCACAGAGGUGACAGUUGGUGGCAGGAUGUCUAGAAAGUGCCCACACAGUGCUUGGCAUGUGGAGAACCAGGAAUGUCAGCUCUUGUGAGCCCAAACUUGCAUCUCACCUGGACACCAUCUGCCUGCCUGGCCGGGCUCUACCUGUUGAAGCCCUGCCCUUUGAGGUCCAGCUCGGACAGUGCUGGGCUCUGCAGCUCACCCCACCAGAAGCCUGUCCCACUGCUGUUUUGGGGCACAUUUAAACCUCCCUCUUAGCUCUUAUCACUGUGUUGCUGUUCUGCUUGACAUUCUUAUCUCCCUCGCCAGAGGGGUGCGCUUCAAAGCCAGGACAGCCUCUAACGGCUUGCCCACUCCCCUCCCUGGAGCCAGAAGUGCUCACACCCGAGAGCCUUGGGUUAUAGCACCUCAGCCACAGGCCGUUCACUGGUCCAGACCCAAGGAUGGCCCCUGUGGGGCCACACAGCCAGGAUGGACCCCAAGGCCCUUUCAUCCCCAUCCCCUUUUCUGUGUCUUUUAGUCCACUUCUCUGGCCAUUGCCCUCGAGUGGAUUCUCCCCUCUGACCCAAGCCUGAGGAGAGGGCAGGGGCUGUUUUGUGUUUCAGGGUGGGAAGUGUCAUCCUAGUAGUCACACAGGCAGUGAGAGGUUAGCCAGGCAGAGGGCCAGGAGGGGACCUCCACUAUGAACCUGGAAGGUGGUCAUUGAGUGCAACAAGUGGCCCCCUGAGAACAAAUGACAAGGUGCAGGGACACUGAGCAGAACAUGCAGAGCAUCCAUCCUAGAACUCAAGGCCCUGAGUACCCCUGCCUUUUCUCUGCCCCCCGCCCCCAGCUCCUCCUGCUGCUUUUCCUUCUUAAACUCUGAAUUCAUCAAAGCAGAUUGUCUGCCUGGGUCACUGAGCUUGGAGAUCAGCCAUUUAUUUUCUGUGUCAUAUUGAUCAGGUUUCCCUGCCGAGAUGAUUCAAUUACAAGGCAUCCCAUUGGCACAUCCCACUGGGCAGGAUUGGAACUUCUGCUACCCCUGAGGGCCCACACCAGGCAUGCCUGCCUGGAGUGGGGCAGCCAUCCGACCCUGCACCUCUCCCCAGGGAAAGAAGGUUCUUCUGCUUUUGUUCUCUGCUCAACUCCCAUAGCAGCUGCCCUCCAGCUCUUGGCGCACAGCGUCUUCUGUUUGUGGACUGUCCCACUGCCCAGGCCUUGGAUCUACGUUCAUCUCUGGAGGCUGCUGCCUCGUCUGGCUGAGCGCAGCCUCUCCCACAGCACCUCCUCAGCUCUGCGUCUUACCUGGCAGGGUCCCGAUGGCACCUGAUCUGGAGCUGUGGCUGGGGCUGGGCCCCAUGUUUCCCCAGGGAGGCACCGUCUUGGGUUUCACAGUGGCAGCCAGUGUGGGCCCAUGCUGGUGACUCAGGCUCUGACCCAGCUGGGCGGGCCCAGGAGGCCAUGGUUUCCAUACCACUGCAGUCACGGCCCUGCGAGAGAGUGGGGAGUGACAUCCACACGGGCCGUACCACAACUGUGCAGGCCUCAGCCGGCAGGGCUGGUCCCUCUGUGCUGUGUGUGGGACAGGCGAGGGGUUCUCAGUAGAUGCAAGGAGGAGUGGGCUUCAGCCAGGUCCACACCUCUCUCCUCAUGCAGCCUGGGAACACCGCCAGGUUGUAGGGAGUGCGAGAUGCAGAUGCUAUAGGUGACGCUGCUCUUGCCCGGUCUGAGAAGGUGUGUGUCGGGGUCCUGGCCUCCAACACAGACAGGCACUCCCCGCCCUGCCUGUAGAGCCUCCUCCUGGAAACUCACGUGGCUUCCAGCUCUGCUGGGAGAUCCCCCAGUUCCUCCUCUGGAGCUCAGUCGGCGUCUCCCAGGAGCCCCGCCCUCAGUGCCGUGUCCCUUCUCUGAUGCUCUUGCUGCGGUUGGCGUGUGGCCUGUUUUUUCCCACCUUUUUUCCCUUUUGGUCUUUUGUCAUCCUUUUGUCCAUUUGUGCCAUAUCUGAGACUCUAAGCCCUGGAGAGAAGGGACGUGGGA